rnacentral:tRNA from 1 species
GCAGUAAUAGUUCAGUGGCAGAAUAUAAGCUUCCCAAGCUUAGGAUCCGGGUCCGAUUCCCGGUUACUGCA